AAAACAAUGAUAGCGCCUGAGCUGAAGAAAUCGGACGGAAAUGGAUCUUCAGCAGACGAGGAGGAGGAGUAUCGAAGAUUCGGCGGAUACCUCCCGGCCGCGAUGCCCGGUCGUAAUUCUGAUUCUUAAACCGCAGAAGUGAUUUUGCGAUUAAAGGAAGAAGAGGGCACACGA
rfam:Paenisporosarcina sp. HGH0030 genomic scaffold acAqH-supercont1.3, whole genome shotgun sequence.